CACCAGUGGUGCGCUUAUUGCGGCAGUUAGUACUUCUUUGUAUGUCCUUUAACAUAGUGUUCAGGGCUAGGCACAUCCCGGGGUUCAAAAAUGUAGUGGCUGAUGCGCUGUCUCGUUUUCAGUGGGAGCGUUUCCAGGAAGCAGCACCUGGCACGAGGAAGCAAGGGCUGGCAUGCCUGGUCGAAAUGUGGACUGCCUGCUUGGGGAGUGCAUAAGGAAAUCGUUGGCGCCAAACACGUGGUCCACGUAUGUAAAGGUUUGGAACGUGUGGGACGAGACAGUGGAACAGGUAGG